AAAAUUAAAGAAGCGCCUGAACCCUUGUAUGUAAAAGGGUUGACGAGGAGGGGGUUUAUCGAGAUUCGGCGGAUGCCCCCCGGUUGGUCGUGACCGAGAAAGGUAUGACAAAAGCGCCGGGUAACCGGCGUCACAAAAAUACUGGUCGACAUAG
rnacentral:ncRNA from 2 species